rnacentral:lncRNA from 1 species
CGGCCGCCGGCACCCGCCACACUUCCGGCCUUUGUGGGCCGCAGCGACGGCGGUCUGCGGCUGUCGGUUCUGUUUGUUGCUGUCACUGCUGUUUGUUCUUGCCAGCGGCUAGGGUCUGGCUGUUUUGCCCAGAAUGGAGUGCAGUGGCGUGAUGGUCUCGGCUGACAGCAGCCUCGACCUCCUGGGCUCAAGCCUUGGCCUCCCAAAGUGCUGGGAUUACAGGUAUGAGCCACCAUGCCCGGCCCUCCCUUUCUUUUGUGUCUUUGGAUUUGUCUUUGUGGAGAGGGUACCAGCCACCAUCCUGUGAGGAAGCCCAGAGCACAUGAAGAGACCACCUGCACAUGUUCAGAUCCACUGCCCCAGCUAAGAUCUCCGCUGACAGCCAGACCAAUCACCAAUCUUAGGAGCUGGCGAGCCUUCAGAUGGUCCAACCUUUGAGGCCCCCCAGAGGAGCCAGGUGGAGCAUAGAUGAGCCAUCCAUGUGGAUCCCUCCACCAAAUGGAAGAUUUAGGAGCAAAAUAAACAAUGUUGUCAUUGCUUUCACCCACGAAAUUGUUGAAUAAUUUGUUUUGCUGCUUAAGUAGCUGGAACACUGUGUUACCGAGGGAAGAGCAACAACCAACAGGAGAGAAUAGUCAGUUAAGUAAGAGAUUUUUGACCCUCUCCCUAUCCGUCCACUUUGCUCAACACAACAGAGAAGCCACAGCUUCCAAUAGGAAAAUAGAGAGGGAAGGUGUCUCCAACAGUCAGAUCACUCACUCCUGCCACCCCAGGGAGAGGGAAGGGGAGGAGGAAAAGCAUAGAUGAAAGUACCCUUCCCACAGCAGGUUCCCCAGCCACAGCCCUAGCCGACAGUAAAGAAAACUCAG